rnacentral:lncRNA from 1 species
GCGGCCGCAGCAGCGCAGGAGGAGGCGGAGGAGGCGGAGGUGGAAGAGGAAGCCGGCGUGGACGAGGCGGAGGAGAGAGAGGCGGGCCGCGGGCGCAGGCUGUCCGGCGGAGGCUCAGCGCGCUCCGGGGGCGGGGGCGGCGGCGGCGGCUGAAGAGGCUGCGGCGCGCUCAGGAGACCCGCGGCGCCGCUGCCCUUGAGCGGGCCUGCGCCUCCGUGAGGGAAGAGUUGCUGCCAGUGCUGCAGUUUUCUGAACCUGGGAAACGUGCUGUUCAGACUUCAUCCGGGUCUCAUUCAGGAUGCUUCGAUGUUGGUUGGAAGAGAGUUAGACCGAAAAUGUUUUGACUGGCGUCGUUAUGACAAGGUCAUCCGUCAUUGUUGGAUAGAUUGAUAGCACCCAAGUUUAAGGCAGACACCACGAGGGAAAGCCCACGGCGCUGUGGUCCCGGAGGCUAACCAGGCAGUGUCCGCAGACCUCCAGCAACUCCAUCGGGAGGAGAGGAUGAAGUUCCAGGCCCGUUUCAAUUAAUCUGCUCGCAGAACUGCCGAAGAGUGGCUUGUCGGGCCACGGGAGAAGAAACAAAUGCUCUUUCUCACACUCUCCUGGUUCAUUGCUGAGAAACCAGGACACUCCUCUGUUCCCUGGGAGAGACAGUGAACUCCAGGGAUGGAAGUCCGGACUCCGGCGGCGGUCCCGUCAUUUGCCUUCUUGUUUCUGCCCAAACCCAGCUAGUUCCAAGCGCUUGGUCCCCAAGACUGGAAGUCCCCAAGAACCUACCUCUACCUGUCCCAACCCUGCCUCCCCCCUACCCUUUCACCCCCUGCCACCAUUAGAAAGUCUCUGGAUUUUGAAAUGCUAGUUGCAGCAGCUGCUUCCGUGGCCUCAUGCCGCCCACACUCUGGGAAGCGGAGGAGGGAGGGUUCCUCUCGUAAUAAGAUUAGCUGACCUGUUAAUGAGAGUUUUGGACGUGCCGGGCGGGGGUAGGCGCUUUAUGUCCAUUUAAUCCACCUACAUGCGGAGAAGGCAUUAUCAUUAACCCCCAUAUUGUAGAUGGGGACCGCUGAGGUUCGGAAAGUUUAGAUGGGUUGCCUAAGGUCACGCCAUUAAUGAGUAAUGGAGACGGAUUCAAAUACCGUUCGGUAAGGUGCCAAGUGCAUCUUCUGCCUACCCUAGUCCAACCUGUAGCCACUCGGUCCAGACUGACGCCAGAGGGGCUAUCAUGGGAGAGAUUUGGUUCCCCUCGCUGCGGGGUCCAGGGAAGAAGCUGAGAAGGUAGCAAAGUCCCCCUCGCCCACUACGUCUACAGGUGGCGUACCUGGGUAAUCCGAUUCAAGCUUCCGCCACACCCACCCCGGGCACAAGUCGAUCCCGAGGCUUACGGGACCCUAAGGCCCAGAGGCUACAGGAACCUCCCGUGAAGGGGGCAGGAGAAAGUUUGAGGGAGAGCCCUGAAGGUCCGGGAGCGAACGAAAAAGUCUGGAAGGGAAUAGACCAGGAGUCAGGACCUCCCCUGCACCUCCCCAGCAGGCCCACUGCGCCGAGCGGGGCCCCUGCCUCCACCGCGGCUUCCGGGAUGCCCGCAGAGCUCGGCAUCCUCACCCGGUGCGCACAAGGGCGCGCAGCGGCGUAAGCUGGACCCCCGACGCUGCGCGCGCUCUGAGGGGCGCUUCCCCCUCACACAGUUGACCCUGGGCCCGCUUGGUCACGGCCACCCUGGCGCAUCUCAAUAGUUUUUAGAAAGUGAGCCCACCGACGGCAAGGACAUGCACCCCCUCAAAUCCGCUUCCCCCACCCCCUUCAAUACUGAGAAGACCACGGAAACAAAUCACUUCGACCACUUAGAAAGCGAUCAAACCUUUAUAAAAAUCCAUCGCUCCCAAAUCGAUGGGUGAAUAUUUGCUGGGAAUUUGUUCCAGAGGAAUAAAUGAGGAGCCUUGAGUGUAUUAAAUGCAAAAAAAAAAAAAAAAAA